rnacentral:tRNA from 2 species
CCCGGCCGUAGCGCAGAGGCGGUCGCGCCACCCCGUGCGCGGGGCGGGACACGCGGGUUCGAAUCCCGCCGCCGGGG